GGGGCGUGGGCUGCGCCCCUCGAGGUCUGCAGAAGACUUAACUAAAGCUUCCUACAAUGAUGUCCUAAGUGCUGAGCGAAUUAAAAAACUCCUUUACCUGCUUAAGUCAACUGAGGAUCCUGUACUCAUUGAAAGAGCCUUAAGUGCUCUGGGUCACAAUACAGCCUUUCGGCUAACCAAUUUCUGAGGACCCAGAAACCACUGAAAAAAGAAUAUUUCCCCAAUUUUCAGAAGUUUUGAAUCACUUGUCCUGAGCAAGGAAGGGUUGUGCCAAGUUGUCAUGCCUGAGGGGAAGG